rnacentral:tRNA from 1 species
GGGCCCAUCGUUUAGUCUGGCUCAGGACACCGCCCUUUCACGGCGAUAACACGGGUUCAAAUCCCGUUGGGCCCA